AGAGUUUGAUCCUGGCUCAGAAUGAACGCUGGCGGCAGGCCUAACACAUGCAAGUCGAACGGGACCUUCGGGUCUAGUGGCGGACGGGUGAGUAACGCGUGGGAACAUGCCCAAAGGUACGGGAUAGCCUCGGGAAACUGGGUGUAAUACCGUAUGUGCCCUUCGGGGGAAAGAUUUAUCGCCUUUGGAUUGGCCCGCGUUGGAUUAGGUAGUUGGUGGGGUAAUGGCCUACCAAGCCGACGAUCCAUAGCUGGUUUGAGAGGAUGAUCAGCCACACUGGGACUGAGACACGGCCCAGACUCCUACGGGAGGCAGCAGUGGGGAAUCUUAGACAAUGGGGGAAACCCUGAUCUAGCCAUGCCGCGUGAUCGAUGAAGGCCUUAGGGUUGUAAAGAUCUUUCAGUGGGGAAGAUAAUGACGGUACCCACAGAAGAAGCCCCGGCUAACUCCGUGCCAGCCGCCGCGGUAAUAC
rnacentral:rRNA from 1 species